rnacentral:lncRNA from 1 species
AUCUACUUACUAUCUCCUUGCAUUUUUCUUCAUUCUCCUUCCAUUUUUCUUUGAAAUGUCUUCAUAUUCAUAUAUGUGUCUUUAUAUUCACAAGAGAAAUGUCGAUUUAAUUUUUUCAGCAGUGUAGCCUCCGAUGAAGAUCCGACUUUGAAAUGUAGAUACGUUUGAACAUCUUAAUAGGAUCUUAAACAGUUGGUUAGAUGGAGACAUUGCAGAGGGUGAAAAGAUCAGCAGAAUUCAAUGACUUGAUACCACGUUCAACCAAAAUGGAGAAGUUCAUUUCUAGGUGGAUGUUAAAACUGACAAAGACGUUCAUAUGAUGAUGUAUACUUCUCACAAAAUUGUUUUGAUGGUUGUAAUCGCAUAGUUAUGUUGCUUAUGUGUUGUAUUUAUUUGUGAUGUUAUUUUAUUUGUUGUAGUUAUUUGUGUUGUUGUUUAAUUAUUGUUUAAUUGUUGUUUUCAAGUUUUUGUAAUUGAAUCUUAUGAUAUUUAUUAAAUGAAUUUUGUUUUAAAUAUAAAGAAAAAGGGUUACAAUUAAA